rnacentral:rRNA from 1 species
AUACGGAGGGUGCAAGCGUUAAUCGGAAUUACUGGGCGUAAAGCGCGCGUAGGCGGCUUGGUAAGUCGGAUGUGAAAUCCCCGGGCUUAACCUGGGAAUUGCAUUCGAUACUGUCAGGCUAGAGUGUGGUAGAGGGAAGUGGAAUUUCCGGUGUAGCGGUGAAAUGCGUAGAUAUCGGAAGGAACACCAGUGGCGAAGGCGGCUUCCUGGACCAACACUGACGCAGAGGCGCGAAAGCGUGGGGAGCAAACAGGAUUAGAUACCCCAGUAGUCC